CAGGCUGCAACCCGCCUGCAUGAAGUCGGAAUUGCUAGUAAUCGCGGAUCAGCAUGCCGCGGUGAAUACGUUCCCGGGCCUUGUACACACCGCCCGUCACACCAUGGGAGCCGGUAAUACCCGAAGUCAGUAGUCCAACCUCGUGAGGACGCUGCCGAAGGUAGGAUUGGCGACUGGGUGAAGUCGUAACAAGGUAGC
rnacentral:rRNA from 1 species